rfam:Gossypium arboreum cultivar AKA8401 contig_68174_3, whole genome shotgun sequence.
CGAACCCAGGUCAAGGGGGAUUACCCGCUGAGUUUAAGCAUAUCAAUAAGCGGAGGAAAAGAAACUUACUAGGAUUCCCCCAGUAACGGCGAGUGAACCGGAAAAAGCCCAGCUUGAGAAUCGGGCGCCACCGGCGUUCGAAUUGUAGUCUGGAGAAGCGUCCUCAGCGACAGACCGGGCCCAAGUCCCUUGGAAAGGGGCGCCGGAGAGGGUGAGAGCCCUGUCGUGCCCGGACCCUGUCGUACCACGAGGCACUGUCUACGAGUCGGGUUGUUUGGGAAUGCAGCCCUAAUCGAGUGGUAAAUUCCGUCCAAGGUUAAAUACGGGCGAGAGACCGAUAGCGAACAAGUACCGCGAGGGAAAAAUGAAAAGGACUUUGAAAAGAUAGUCAAAGAGUGCUUGAAAUUGUCGGGAGGGGAGCGGAUGGGGGCUGGCAAUGUGCCUUGGUCGGAUGUGGAACGGCGAGAACCAGUCCGUCGAUCAGCUCGAAGGGUGGACAGACGCGGGUCGUGGCGGCGGUCCAAGCUCGGGCCUUUGAUUCGCCUGUAGAGACAUCGUCGCCUCGAUUGUGGGAUCCAGAACGCGCCGUCUCGGCGUAGUUUGGCACCUGCUUGCUCCAGGUGUCGAUCGGUGGGCUCUCCAUUCGGCCCAUUUUGAAACACGGACGAAGAAGUCUGACAUGUGUGCGAGUCAACGGGCUAGAAAACCCGUAAGGCACAAAGAAGCUGAUUGGCGGGAUCCCUCGCGGGUGCACCGCCGACUGACCUUGAUCUUCUAAGAAGGGUUCGAGUGAGAGCAUGCCUAUCGACACCCGAAAGAUGGUGAACUAUGUCUGAGCAGGGUGAAGCCAGAGGAAACUCUGGUGGAGGCCCGCAGUGAUACUGACAUGCAAAUCGUUCAUCUGACUUGGGUAUAGGGGUGAAAGGCUAAUCGAACAGUUUAGUGUCACGGACUUAGAGUUUUCCCAAGCAAUAAAUGCGGCCUUAAGCGUUUCUCCACUCAAAAACGCCUAAGUCAGCCUAUCUUGCAACAAUUGAGGAUUCAAUAGAACUCCUUUAAAGAACCUACGAAGAACAGCAGAAGAACGAAGUAAGAACGAUCGCAAAAGAUGAAUAAAAGCCACAUAAAAAUAAGAACACUUGAGAGAAAAGUUUGAGCGAAUGCUCUCAAAAUUCUAUUAAUCACUGAAUGAAUACAAUAAGGGGGAGAGGCCUCUAUUUAUAGUUGAGUCUUCCCAAUAUCAACGGUAUAGAUCGAAAUACAUCAAUGGCUAAGAUUUAAAGCUAUCAAGAUAUCAAAUCUCUAAGAUUACAGAAUCAUAUCUUCUAAAGAUUACAUUAAAGUCUAGGAUCGCAUAUCUUUGAAGAUCCCCUUCCAUAUUUGCCAAGCAUA